UACGUAGGAGGCAAGCGUUGUCCGGAAUUACUGGGCGUAAAGCGCGUGUAGGUGGUGGGACAAGUCUGCUGUGAAAGCGCCUGGCUUAACCGGGCGAGGUCGGCGGAAACUGUCCGACUCGAGGACGGGAGAGGGGGGUGGAAUUCCCGGUGUAGUGGUGAAAUGCGUAGAGAUCGGGAGGAACACCUGUGGCGAAGGCGGCCCCCUGGGCCGGUCCUGACACUGAGACGCGAAGGCGUGGGGAGCGAACAGG
rnacentral:rRNA from 1 species